UGGAAAGGUCCUGACCCAGUGAUUGUCUGGAGUCGGGGUUUUGUUUGUGUGUUUCCACAGGGAGAACAGCCGAUUUGGAUUCCAGAGAGAUUAACUAAAACAGUUUCUACAGAUCGAAAAGAAGAUGAUUUGACUCAAAUCCAUAACAGCUGAUAUCCAGAACUCCAGCUUGGCCAUUCUUACAUCUGCGACAGUGAUUAACCAGGAUGCUUUUUUCAAUAGCUAUUUUAUUAUUGCAUUUUUCCACAUCAUAAGGUUCUAUUUUUAUUUUUUGAGCUCAUACAAACCUAGGUUAAUGUUUUUCUGAUCAGUUUUAUUUUUUGACUGUGGAGUUUUUAAACAUUGCAAUGGAGAUUUCACCCAGGAUAAUGUCUCUUUAGCAUCAUUGCCAGAAUUCCUAUCUCCAUCCCAGUGCCGGUGAAGAACUCAACAAGUAAUGCUCAAUCAAAGAGUCAACUUACUUUGGGGAGGAAACGGAUUUUGGGAGGAAAUGGACAUAUUGAUAGAUUCCUCUGCUUUGAACUGCUUGCAGAACUUGCCUGGACUAUGUAACUAUCGUUUGGUGCAGCGAAUUGUGGUAAUGCUGGCAUAUCUUUGCUGAUGGUGUCACUAGUGAUGCAAUUUUUAUUUCCUUGCCAGCGCACCCCAUGUUAAUUGUGGUAGUGCUGACAUAUCUUUGCUGAUGGUGUCACCAGUGAUGCAAUUUUUCCCAAGGAGCCGUCAAUUGGCUUGGUGUCGUUGCAUUUCUGUAUCCUCCUCCCUUCUGCUAGUGAUGGUCUAAAAUUUGGGGGCCAAUGGCUUAUGCUGGACCGGUAGUCAGUGAUGGGUAUGAUCCAAUUGCAGUGGUAUCAACCUAAGACAGGAGGCUGACGCCUAAAGGUCAGUUUUCCGAUGACGGGUAAGAACCAUAUGUUGAAUUGGACAACCUACCAGGCACGGUCCAUAAGCCACAUUAACCUCACUCCCCCACUGGCACCAAGGCCAAAUUUGGGGGCCAACAGAGGUGAGGCAAAGAACCUCACCCCCCCACUGGUGCAUAGACCUAUCCACAAGUAUGGCUGUAUGCUGGACCGGUAGUCAGUGACGGGUAUGAUUCAAUUGCAGUGGUAUCAACCUAAGACAGGAGGCUGACGCCUAAAGGUCAGUUUUUCCCAUGACGGGUAAGAACCAUAUGUUGAAUUGGACAACCUACCAGGCACGGUCCUUAAGCCACAUUGCUUGUUGUUUAAUUAAUCAGAAGGGGGGAGAUGCUGGGAGCCAUUAGCCAAGUAGGUAUGACAAUUUCCUUGCCAGCGUACCCCAUGUUGCUGACAUGUUGCAGUGACAUUGAAUGUAAGUGACCUUGCUCAAGGACCAAGGCAGAUUAGGGUGUUCCCGGUUUUAAGAUAAUCGUGUUUAGGGCGUUCCCGGUUUAGGUUCCAGGUUUAAGGUUUAAGAUUAUUCCUGCUGGGAAUAGGGCGUAUCCUGCUGCCUGAGUUCCCCUUGAGUUCUCAUGGGAUUCAGACAAUAUAUUUUGGAGAUAGAAGCCCAGUGGAGGUGAAUUUGGGAGAGAAGGUGGAUUUGGGAAGAGAACGUGGAUUUCCCCAGAACGUGAUUGUAGACGGCUGGUGUGAGUUCGGGAAUAAAGAGUUGCUGUUUGAAUCUACAA